UACGGAGGGUGCAAGCGUUAUCCGGAUUUACUGGGCUUAAAGGGUGCGUAGGCGGAUUUGUAAGUCAGAGGUGAAAUCCCCGAGCUUAACUCGGAAACUGCCUUGGAUACUAUAAGUCUUGAAUGCCGUUGAGGUUGGCGGAAUAUGUCAUGUAGCGGUGAAAUGCUUAGAUAUGACAUAGAACAUCUAUUGCGAAGGCAGCUAACUAAGCGUAUAUUGACGCUGAUGCACGAAAGCGUGGGGAUCAAACAGG
rnacentral:rRNA from 1 species